rnacentral:rRNA from 1 species
UACGUAGGUGACCAGCGUUGUCCGGAUUUACUGGGCGUAAAGAGCGCGCAGGCGGUCGAUCAAGUCGAGUGUGAAAGCCCCCGGCUCAACUGGGGAGGGUCAUUCGAUACUGAUCGACUCGAAGGCAGGAGAGGGUAGUGGAAUUCCCGGUGUAGUGGUGAAAUGCGUAGAUAUCGGGAGGAACACCAGUGGCGAAGGCGACUACCUGGCCUGUUCUUGACGCUGAGGCGCGAAAGCUAGGGUAGCAAACGGG